GGUGAACGCUGGCGGCGUGCUUAAGACAUGCAAGUCGAACGCAGUCUUCGGACUGAGUGGCGCACGGGUGAGUAACACGUAACUGACCUACCCCCAAGUCGCGAAUAACCAGCCGAAAGGAUGGCUAAUACGUGAUGUGAUGAUCCGCUGUGGCGGAUCAUUAAAGACUUGAUCGCUUGGGGAUGGGGUUGCGUUCCAUCAGCUAGUUGGUAAGGUAAAGGCUUACCAAGGCAACGACGGAUAGCCGGCCUGAGAGGGUGGCCGGCCACAGGGGAACUUGGACACGGGUCCCACUCCUACGGGAGGCAGCAGUUAGGAAUCUUCCACAAUGGGCGCAAGCCUGAUGGAGCGACGCCGCGUGAGGGAUGAAGGUUCUCGGAUCGUAAACCUCUGAACCAACGACGAAAGACCCGACAAGGGAGAUGACGGUAGUUGGGUAAUAGCACCGGCUAACUCCGUGCCAGCCGCCGCCGUAACAC
rnacentral:rRNA from 1 species